UACAGAGGGUGCGAGCGUUAAUCGGAAUUACUGGGCGUAAAGCGCACGUAGGUGGCGACGUAAGUCGGGUGUGAAGGCCCCGGGCUCAACCUGGGAAUUGCAUUCGAGACUGAAUAGCUAGGGUACGGUAGAGGGAAGUGGAAUUUCCGGUGUAGCGGUGAAAUUCGUAGAUAUCAAGCGGAACACCGGUGGCGAAGGCGGCCUUCUGGACAGUGACUGACGCUGAGACACGAAAGCGUGGGGAGCAAACAGG
rnacentral:rRNA from 1 species